GUCCUUUAGAAUAUAAUAUUAGGUCUGGCCUGCCCAAUGAUUAUUUCAAUGGCCGCAGUAUUUUAACUGUGCGAAGGUAGCAUAAUCAUUAGUUUCUUAAUUAGAAACUUGUAUGAAUGGUCGGAUGAGGAAAAAUCUGUCUCUACCUAAUUUUAAAAGAAUUUUAUUUUUAAGUUAAAAAGCUUAAAUAUUCAUUAAAGACGAGAAGACCCUAUAGAGUUUAAUAAUGAAUUUUAGAUAAUAAUUAGGAAUUGAACUAUUUUUUAUUUAUUUGUUAUUUUGUUGGGGUGACAGAAAAAUUAAUUUAACUUUUUUCUUUUCUUUAACAUUGAUAUAUGGUUAAUUGAUCCAAUUUUUUUGAUUAAAAGAUUAAAUUACCUUAGGGAUAACAGCGUAAUCUUCUUGGAGAGUUCUUAUUGAUAAGAAGGUUUGCGACCUCGAUGUUGGAUUAAAAUAAACAAUUGGCGCAAAAGUUGAUUUGUUGGGUCUGUUCGACCUUUAAAAUUUUACGUGAUCUGA
rnacentral:rRNA from 1 species